GACGAACGCUGGCGGCGUGCUUAACACAUGCAAGUCGAGCGGAGCGGCGAACGGGUGAGUAACGCGUGAGUAACUGCCCCCCUCUCUGGGAUAACAGUUGGAAACGGCUGCUAAUACCGGAUAGUGGGGGAUGACUCGCGUCCUAGAAGCUUGUUGGUGGGGUAGUGGCCUACACAGGCGACGACGUGUAGCAGGCCUGAGAGGGCGACCGGCCACAGUGGGCUGAGAUACGGCCCAAACUCCGACGGGAGGCAGUAGUGGGGAAUAGUGCCCAAUGUGGGAAACCCUGAUGCAGCAACGCCGGGUGCGGGAUGACGGCCUUCGGGUUGUAAACCGCUUUCAGCUAUGACGCGGUAGUGGCAGAAGAAGCACCGGCUAACUACGUGCCAGCAGCCGCGGUAAUUC
rnacentral:rRNA from 1 species